AGCGAACGCUGGCGGCAGGCCUAACACAUGCAAGUCGAACGAACCUUUCGGGGUUAGUGGCGGACGUGUGAGUAACACGUGGGAACGUGCCUUUAGGUUCGGAAUAACUCAGGUAAACUUGUGCUAAUACCGAAUGUGCCCUUCGGAGGAAAGAUUUAUCGCCUUUAGAGCGGCCCGCGUCUGAUUAGCUAGUUGGUUGAGGUAAUGGCUCACCAAGGCGACGAUCAGUAGCUGGUCUGUGAGGAGGAUCAGCCACAUUGGGACUGAGACACGGCCCAAACUCCUACGGGAGGCAGCAGUGGGGAAUCUUGCGCAAUGGGCGAAAGCCUGACGCAGCCAUGCCGCGUGAAUGAUGAAGGUCUUAGGAUUGUAAAAUUCUUUCACCGGGGACGAUAAUGACGGUACCCGGAGAAGAAGCCCCGGCUAACUUCGUG
rnacentral:rRNA from 1 species